CCCCAGCGCCACAAGUGGCAAUCGCUAUUAUUGGGCCUAAAGCGUCCGUAGCCGGCCGAGUAAAUCUUUUGUGAAAUUGUUCCGCUUAACGGGACAACGUGCAGGAGACACUGCUUGGCUCGGAACCGGGAGGAGUCAGAGGUAUGCUGGGGGGAGCGGUAAAAUGUGAUAAUCCCCAGUAGACCACCUGUGGCGAAGGCGUCUGACCAGAACGGAUUCGACGGUGAGGGACGAAAGCCAGGGGAGCAAAACGG
rnacentral:rRNA from 1 species